UACGUAGGUGGCAAGCGUUGUCCGGAUUUACUGGGCGUAAAGGAUGCGUAGGCGGCUUUCUAAGUCAGGGGUGAAAUCCUGGAGCUCAACUCCAGAACUGCCUUUGAUACUGGAGAGCUUGAGUCCGGAAGAGGUGAGUGGAACUCCGAGUGUAGAGGUGAAAUUCGUAGAUAUUCGGAAGAACACCGGUGGCGAAGGCGGCGACCUGGGCAGAUACUGACGCUGAGGUACGAAAGCGUGGGGAGCAAACAGG
rnacentral:rRNA from 1 species